rnacentral:piRNA from 1 species
CAGGGUCAUGGACUACAGCUACUC